rnacentral:tRNA from 1 species
GCCUUCUUAGCUCAGCUGGAUAGAGCAACGGUUUUGUAAACCGUAGGUCGUCGGUUCAAGUCCGACAGAAGGCU